UACGUAGGGUGCGAGCGUUGUCCGGAAUUAUUGGGCGUAAGGAGCUCGUAGGCGGUUUGUUGCGUCUAUCGUGAAAACCUGCGGCUUAACUGUGGGCUUGCGGUGGAUACGGGCAGACUUGAGUUCGGUAGGGGAGACUGGAAUUCCUGGUGUAGCGGUGAAAUGCGCAGAUAUCAGGAGGAACACCGGUGGCGAAGGCGGGUCUCUGGGCCGAUACUGACGCUGAGGAGCGAAAGCGUGGGGAGCGAACAGG
rnacentral:rRNA from 1 species